GUGUGUGUUUGUGUGAGUGUGUGUGCGCGUGCGUUUGUGUGUUUGUCUUCGUUAUCAAGGGGGAGCCCACCCACCUUACCCAACCCAACACUCGCUCCCAACCGAAGGAUGGGUUUGUGGUAGGGUGGGUGGUUGUGGUUGUAGUUGUGUGUGUGUGUUUGUGUGAGUGUGUGUGCGCGUGCGUUUGUGUGUUUGUCUUCGUUAUCAAGGGGGAGCCCACCCACCUGACCCAACCCAACACUCGCUCCCAACCGAAGGAUGGGUUUGUGGUAGGGUGGGUGGUUGUGGUUGUAGUUGUGUGUGUGUGUGUGUGUGUGUGUGUGUGUGUGUGUGUGUGUGUGUGUGUGUGUGUGUGUGCGUGCGUGUGUGUGUUUGUGUGUGUGUAAUAAUAAUAGUAAUAAAGGGUUUAUUGAGACAAGCAGCUCUGUAGCUGAAAAUAAACAUUUUACAGGAGAAAUAUCCUAAUAUUACAUGCUUAAAAUUCAUCACAAAUUUAGUCAGUGUCCACGAGUUAAUUAUUUUGAUUAUUGUGGGCACUGCACUAUUUUUGUAUGUGUGUAUCCGGGCCGGGCACGUAUGGGGAGCGGCUUCUGGUGGCGGACACUGUCGCUGGGAGGGGGAGCUGCCGGAGGGAGUAGGCUCCUGUGGCGCCAGUGGAGAAGCUUUGUGGGAAGCUGGUGGAGGAGGUGUUGGUAGCGAGUGUGAAGGGUGGUGAGGUGUAGGGUGUGGAGGGCCUCCUGGCUCAGGCGUGUAGAUGGGAGCAGGAGAAGAAAGAACAAAGGAAGAGGACGAAGAAGAAAGGAAAAAUGGAAGUGGAAGAAGAGGAGGAGCCAAGCCACAAUAUUUAGGUCCGCAGAAAACGACACGCUGAUUUAUUUGAAGUCAAGGAUGGAGAUUAAAACGGCCUUUAAAAACACCACACCCGUUUUGUCCACCGCCAUCACCACCUUCUCCCAGAUCAAGGAAGUGUAUUACGGACUCACACAAAAGGAAGAGGCGAGUACCCGUAUCACAGGUCACACCGUGGGACUGACACCGCUGCAGCAACCCUUCGGAAUAAAGUCAAGUACAAAUUACGGUUUGCUAGGCGUUAGGUGUUAGGCAUAGGGCGAUAGGCGGCGCGGCUAACCAUUCUCUUCCAGGUACAUGUUAAUUAUCUAGUCUUCUUCAGUAAUGCCCUGGUUACUUUUGGCUAAAAUAAGCGUCUUGUGUGUGUGUGUGUGUGUGUGUGUGUGUGUGUGUGUGUGUAUAUGUAUUUACCUAGUUGUAGUUUUACAGGGCCUGGGAUUUAUGUUCGUGUGGC
rnacentral:lncRNA from 1 species